rfam:Schistosoma mattheei strain Denwood, Zambia genome assembly, scaffold: SMTD_scaffold0018584
AUCCAGCUGACGAGUCCCUAAUAUGACGAAAUGCGCAUCCUGGAU